rnacentral:rRNA from 1 species
UAUCAACCCACUGGAACCGAAUCGGGCCAGAUCCUACGGAGGCAGCCAUUGGGGAAUAUUGGAACAAUGGGCGCAGCUGAUCCAGCCAUGCCGCGUGAGUGAAGAAGCUCGGGUUGUAAGCUCUUUUUGUCGGAAAGAAAAGCAUUCGGUUAAUAACCGGGUGUCAUGACGGUACCGGAAGAAUAAGCACGGCUAACUUCGUGCCAGCAGCCGCGGUAAUACGAAAGGGUGCAAGCGUACUCGGAAUUACUGGGCGUAAAGCGUGCGUAGGUGGUUCGUUAAGUCUGAUGUGAAAGCCUGGGCUCAACCUGGGAAUGGCAUUGGAUACUGGCGGACUGGAGUGCGGUAGAGGAUGGCGGAAUUCCCGGUGUAGCAGUGAAAUGCGUAGAGAUCGGGAGGAACAUCUGUGGCGAAGGCGGCCAUCUGGACCAGCACUGACACUGAGGCACGAAAGCGUGGGGAGCAAACAGGAUUAGAUACCCUGGUAGUCCACGCCCUAAACGAUGCGAACUGGAUGUUGGGUGCAACUAGGCACUCAGUAUCGAAGCUAACGCGUUAAGUUCGCCGCCUGGGGAGUACGGUCGCAAGACUGAAACUCAAAGGAAUUGACGGGGGCCCGCACAAGCGGUGGAGUAUGUGGUUUAAUUCGAUGCAACGCGAAGAACCUUACCUGGCC